UUAACUCUACAUCGUUUCGAGAUUGUAUACAAUAGAAUCUGUACUAUUGUAAUAAUUAAUCUAACAAAAUACUCAAAUAAUUAUUUAUCAACAUUUAAUAUAUUAUCUUCUAGUAAUAUAUGUUUGUAUAUAUAAUAAAUAUUUCUAUUUUUUUUUUCUUAGCGUAUCAAAAAAAGAGGCAUCACAAUUCGAAUUCGUGCCCAACAUAAGUCAAAUUAAAAAAAAUGUCUUUGUUGUAGCUAAUUUGCCACUAAUUAUAAAGAGAAAAUUAUUAAUAUUUUAUAAUUAAAUUUAGAAGUUAUUUAUUAAUGGUUACCAAUUUCAAUGUAUAAUAACACUUACGAAAACAAAAUGAUGUUAUUCUAAAACGUUUUGUCUUAUUAACUUGGACAUGGAGAAGAAUUAAUGGAAUUAAUGUUCUUUAUUCGCACACACUUUGAUUGUACAGCUGGACAGCAGUAUUUAGAUUUGGAAACAAAUACUAGAGAGAAAAUUGCUUAAUAAUAAAUAUUAUUAAGUAAUUUUGUCUUUUUCUACAAUUCGUAGCUUAGCUUAUAUUUAAGUAGCGACAUACGAUUCUAUGAAGUCUUGACUGUUUAUUUUUAUUAUCUUUUUCUAUGUUUCCAUUAUAUUGUGAUCCUGUGCUGUAUUUAACGUAUCCUCUACUAACAUUAUUUUUUGUGUACUUUUAGUUGGAAGUUUGUGAUCGUGUAUAUGACCGAAAUAACCUACUAGUUUUUUUUUUUUUAUUAAGACGUAACAUGGGCGUUGUUGGAAAGGGACAAAAAACAGUAUCCACUUUUAAAAUGAGCAAUGUAUCUUUACAGUGCAUGUGCAUUUUUUUUUAAUUAAUGCGACCACGAUAUAUAUCAAUGUGAUUGAUCUAAACUGAAUCAUUAAACCUCAACAUGGAUUGCGAACUCUUCAGACACCUCACAAAACAAAUAUCAAUUAAAAAAUACGAAAACAACGAUCCUCGUAGGUACACAAACCCGUGACCAUUGUUCUACCGACUUGACCAUCUCGGUCUCAUGUCUGUAUAUAAAGAUGAUGAGUAGCUUGACUUAAAGUAAUGAGUGAAAUUAACAUAACGUACAAAUCAAUAACAUUAAAGCAAUGUUAGCCUUUAUUCGUGGUUAAUUAGAUAUUAGUCAUCUUCAAUUAGUAUGUUUUUUAUCGUAUUUACAUAAUAAAUGCCCCAUAUCUAACACGAACCUUAUCAAAAUCGAAUAUAUAUAUUUUUUAUUAUAUAAUUGACUAGAUGGUGGAACAUUAUGCAAGCACUUCUAGUAUAACCCAUCGACCGAAAAACAUCAAUGUUAUGUAUUAUUGUAUUUCGGCUUCAGAGAGUUAUAACAGGCGAAAAAUGUGUUCCCCUGGUUAGCAGCUUGUUGACUACGUAAGGUAUAGUUAAUACUCUUAUAUCAAUGUCUUUUACACCACAAACACUACUAGGAACUAUUUCUUUAAUACUAAAAAUAACAUAUAUUUAUAUUAAAAAUAGUGUGCCGUAGUUCAGUUUUAUACACAUGUUGACAGUUUUUUUGUAUAUAAUAAUAAUAUCUUGAAGUACUAUUCUGUGAGAAAUCAAAUCGUAUCUCACUCGUAAAAUGUUGGUAAUCAACGGUGAUACGCUAUUUUGACGUGUGUAUCCUGGUGAAGUUAUCUGUGCUAUCCAUAUUUAUAAUAAUAUUAAAAAGAGAUAAAAUUUGUUUAUUUGUAUCUAGGGACUAAAUCGUCGGAACUAAUGAUUCCAUUUUUAAAUUUCGUCUCGCUACUAAUUAUAGAAAACGUCGCAUAUCACUUCCGGACAUUUCAAGCUCAUAUUUGUUUGUGUGAGUUUCAGUCUGUUCUUACAGAAUAGUUCGACUGUUCUGUUAUAUGCCUUAAUAAAGUACCUAAUACUAGAAUAUAUUUUUAUUCUUAAUUUUGACAUAGCGAAAUUGUUAAUGAAUGUAACCUUAUGAUAAACAAAUGCGUGAUGAUUUGUUGUAUGAAAAUAAUUAAUGUUAUUUAUUGAUAUAAGGAAAUAAAUAUUUUUGUACCGCUCG